rnacentral:rRNA from 1 species
UCGAGCGAAUGGAUUAAGAACUUGCUCUUAUGAAGUUAGCGGCGGACGGGUNUAACGGCACGNUGGUGUAACCUGCCCAUAAGACUGGGUAUAACUCCGGGAAACCGGGGCUAAUACCGGAUAACAUUUUGAACCGCAUGGUUCGAAAUUGAAAGGCGGCUUCGGCUGUCACUUAUGGAUGGACCCGCGUCGCAUUAGCUAGUUGGUGAGGUAACGGCUCACCAAGGCAACGAUGCGUAGCCGACCUGAGAGGGUGAUCGGCCACACUGGGACUGAGACACGGCCCAGACUCCUACGGGAGGCAGCAGUAGGGAAUCUUCCGCAAUGGACGAAAGUCUGACGGAGCAACGCCGCGUGAGUGAUGAAGGCUUUCGGGUCGUAAAACUCUGUUGUUAGGGAAGAACAAGUGCUAGUUGAAUAAGCUGGCACCUUGACGGUACCUAACCAGAAAGCCACGGCUAACUACAUGCCAGCAGCCGCGGUAAUACGUAGGUGGCAAGCGUUAUCCGGAAUUAUUGGGCGUAAAGGUGGCGCAGGUGGUUUCUUAAGUCUGAUGUGAAACCCCACGGCUCAAUCCUGGAGGGGCAUUGUAAACGGGGAGACUUCAGUGCUAAAGAGGGGAGUGGAUCUCCCACUGUACACUCGUCAUGUAUAGCGAGGACGACGAAGAUAUCUGAUCCUGGUGACUCUCCGCGCUGUCACUGAUCCUUGUGCGUUACAGACUGGGGAGUCGACAUCAUUACAGAUGCUGGUACUCCUCUCUACACACUACGAGUGCUCACAUGUGAGAGNGUUUNCGCUCUUCAGUGCUGAAGUUAACGCAUUACGCACGACGCCCCGCGGAUUACGGCCUGCAGCGCUGACAUNUCAACUG